rnacentral:rRNA from 1 species
UACGUAGGGGGCAAGCGUUGUCCGGAUUUAUUGGGCGUAAAGAGCGUGUAGGCGGCUUGACAAGUCUGCUGUGAAAACUUGAGGCUCAACCUCAAGCUGUCGGCGGAAACUGUCAGGCUAGAGUCCGGAAGAGGAGAGUGGAAUUCCUGGUGUAGCGGUGAAAUGCGCAGAUAUCAGGAAGAACACCUAUGGCGAAGGCAGCUCUCUGGGACGGUACUGACGCUGAGACGCGAAAGCGUGGGGAGCGAACAGG